rnacentral:rRNA from 1 species
AUUGAACGCUGGCGGCAUGCCUUACACAUGCAAGUCGAACGGCAGCACGGGAGCAAUCCUGGUGGCGAGUGGCGAACGGGUGAGUAAUAUAUCGGAACGUGCCCAGUAGUGGGGGAUAGCCCGGCGAAAGCCGGAUUAAUACCGCAUACGACCUGAGGGUGAAAGCGGGGGAUCGCAAGACCUCGCGCUAUUGGAGCGGCCGAUAUCAGAUUAGCUAGUUGGUGGGGUAAAGGCCUACCAAGGCUACGAUCUGUAGUUGGUCUGAGAGGACGACCAGCCACACUGGGACUGAGACACGGCCCAGACUCCUACGGGAGGCAGCAGUGGGGAAUUUUGGACAAUGGGCGCAAGCCUGAUCCAGCAAUGCCGCGUGCAGGAAGAAGGCCUCGGUUGUAACUAGCUUUGUUCUAGGAGAAAGUACUUCUGGGUCGUAAUACCCCGGGUACGGGAGUGACGGUACCGUGAAGAAUAAAGACACCGGCUAACUAACGUGCCAGCAGCCGACC